CUGGUUUACCUGGUUAAAUAAAUAAAUAAAAUAAAUGAUGUUUGAGUGAACCUGAAUCCAGAAAAUGAAUGGUGAAGUCGUUUCCGGACACGGUAGACUCCUCCUCCUCACCACCACUAAGGGGCUAAUUGGUGGAAUGUGUUGUCACGUGAUGCAGCCUUCGAAUCCCGUCCCCAAAAGGCAGUAACCUACUGGAAAAGUGCUUCCUACUGAGGUAGGUAGGUCCCUUUUGGAUUGGUUAAAUAAUAACAGUAUGCUACACCAACAUUUGUUUCCAUUCAUACAAAGUGUCAAAAAAAGAUUGUCCAGCACUGGGCGUGAACUCAUGAUGCUCACAGCUGAAGUGUUCUGCUCAGACCACUUGCCUUACGGCAGUUCACAAUGCUCGUUCGCAAUGCUCUAGCAAGUCAUGAAAAUACUUGACGGUAUGAGGUCGGGUUGGUUUGCAGAGCCUUCUCCAAAUCAUAACCUCCUAGGUAUGGUACUGCAUUGUAUAGCCUACAAAACACCGCUUCUAGCUGCCCCCUGGGCGGCAGUUAUACAUUUAAAAUAUUUAUUCAAAUACUCCUGCUGCAGGAUUAUUUUCUUCCUGCGACGAAAUGGGUCAGAUUAGGAUCCGACAUCUGUAGUGCACUACCUUUGACCAGAGCCCUAUCUGACCAGAGUAGUGCAGUACAGAGAGAAUAAGGGGUCAAAUGUGCUGAGGGGUACUAAACACACAGAAACAGCUGUUUGGGUUUUCAUUUUUUUUAAAAUGUAAUCAUUAUUUAACAAAGAUUAUUAUUAAAAAUGAAACAAUGAACAGUCAUUAGUAUGUUUCUUAUUUUUUCUAAGAGUUUAAAGAAAACAAUAUAUAACUUAGACUACAUGCAAUAUGACAAUGAUGUUAUUGAGUAAAACAACUGGUACAAAAAUCCCUUUCAUGAUCCCAUUUCUACAGAGAGUGACUUGUGUAUCCUGAUUUGAUGGUGUGUGUUCUGAUGAAGACCAAUCAUCAACAGUGGGUGGAGGGUUGAAGACCAAUCAUCAACAGAGGGGGGAGGGUUUGUGUUAUUUGAUACACAUAACCUGACACUUUACAUCCAGACAGGUAGGUAACCAGACAGGUAGGUAACCAGACAGGUAGGUAACCAGACACAGGAAAACCAGACAGGUAGGUAACCAGACAGGUAGGUAACCAGACAGGUAGGUAACCAGACUGGCAGGUAACCAGACUGGCAGGUAACCAGACUGGCAGGUAACCAGACUGGUAGGUAACCAGACUGGUAGGUAACCAGACUGGUAGGUAACCAGACUGGUAGGUAACCAGACUGGUAGGUAACCAGACUGGUAGGUAACCAGACUGGUAGGUAACCAGACUGGUAGGUAACCAGACAGGUAGGUAACCAGACAGGUAGGUAACCAGACUGGUAGGUAACCAGACUGGUAGGUAACCAGACUGGUAGGUAACCAGACAGGUAGGUAACUAGACAGGUAGGUAACUAGACAGGUAGGUAACCAGACUGGUAGGUAACCAGACAGGUAGGUAACCAGACUGGUAGGUAACCAGACUGGUAGGUAACCAGACAGGUAGGUAACCAGACAGG